rnacentral:rRNA from 1 species
UACGGGGGGAGCAAGCGUUGUUCGGAUUUACUGGGCGUAAAGGGCGCGUAGGCGGCCACCGCAAGUCAGUUGUGAAAUCUCUGGGCUUAACCCAGAAAGGUCAACUGAUACUGCGGGGCUAGAGUGCAGAAGGGGCAACUGGAAUUCUCGGUGUAGCGGUGAAAUGCGUAGAUAUGUGGAGGAAUACCGGUGGCGAAGGCGGCCUCCUGGCUUAAUACUGACGCUGAGGUGCGAAAGCGUGGGGAGCGAACAGG